rnacentral:rRNA from 1 species
AACGAACGCUGGCGGCAGGCUUAACACAUGCAAGUCGAGCGCCCCGCAAGGGGAGCGGCAGACGGGUGAGUAACGCGUGGGAAUCUACCCAUCUCUACGGAAUAACGCAUGGAAACGUGUGCUAAUACCGUAUACGUCCUUCGGGGGAAAGACUUAUCGGAGAUGGAUGAGCCCGCGUUGGAUUAGCUAGUUGGUGGGGUAAAGGCCUACCAAGGCGACGAUCCAUAGCUGGUCUGAGAGGAUGAUCAGCCACACUGGGACUGAGACACGGCCCAGACUCCUACGGGAGGCAGCAGUGGGGAAUAUUGGACAAUGGGCGCAAGCCUGAUCCAGCCAUGCCGCGUGAGUGAUGAAGGCCCUAGGGUUGUAAAGCUCUUUCACCGGUGAAGAUAAUGACGGUAACCGGAGAAGAAGCCCCGGCUAACUUCGUGCCAGCAGCCGCGGUAACAC